GUAGAGAGAGGCAGAGAGCUCAGAGAUCAAAAGGUUCCAGGAAGAAGCUCAGCCCUGGAAAAUCAAAACCCAGUUGGAUCCACAGAUGCCUGAGUUGGAGAUGAACUUUGGCGAACUCUCCUCAUUACCAUACUAACCCCACACCCUGCCCAAUCCCAGGGAAGAACUUAUUGGCCAUUUUCUAUGCAUGCGACAUAUGUGGAAGGAUGAUCCUUGACUGCACAUUUGCGGCUUUGACCCCACCUCUGCAUACAAUGGCUCAGCUCACCAGCUCAAUACGAGCCCUGUGUUCACUGUUGUUCAGGGAAGCACUGCUUUGGGAACCAUCUCUAGUGUCCUACUUACUCGUGACAAAUAAUAAAAUCCCCCUGU
rnacentral:lncRNA from 10 species